rnacentral:rRNA from 1 species
CGGGGUGCACCAGGCGCGAAAACUUUACAAUGCCGGCAACGGCGAUAAGGGAACCUCGAGUGCCAGGUUACAAAUCUGGCUGUCGUGAUGCCCAAAAAGCAUUGCAUAGCAAGGGCCGGGCAAGACCGGUGCCAGCCGCCGCGGUAACACCGGCGGCUCGAGUGGUAACCGUUAUUAUUGGGUCUAAAGGGUCUGUAGCCGGCCGGGUAAGUCUCUUGGGAAAUCUGGCAGCUUAACUGUCAGGCUUUCAGGAGAUACUGCCUGGCUCGAGGCCGGGAGAGGUGAGAGGUACUUCAGGGGUAGGGGUGAAAUCUUGUAAUCCUUGAAGGACCACCAGUGGCGAAGGCGUCUCACCAGAACGGACCUGACGGCAAGGGACGAAAGCUAGGGGCACGAACCGGAUUAGAUACCCGGGUAGUCCUAGCCGUAAACGAUACUCGCUAGGUGUCGGCCACGGUGCGACCGUGGUCGGUGCCGUAGGGAAGCCGUGAAGCGAGCCACCUGGGAAGUACGGCCGCAAGGCUGAAACUUAAAGGAAUUGGCGGG